AACGAACGCUGGCGGCAUGCCUAACACAUGCAAGUCGAACGAGACCUUCGGGUCUAGUGGCGCACGGGUGCGUAACGCGUGGGAACCUGCCCUUAGGUUCGGAAUAACUCCCCGAAAGGGGUGCUAAUACCGGAUAAUGUCUUCGGACCAAAGAUUUAUCGCCUUUGGAUGGGCCCGCGUUGGAUUAGCUAGUUGGUAGGGUAAAAGCCUACCAAGGCGACGAUCCAUAGCUGGUCUGAGAGGAUGAUCAGCCACACUGGGACUGAGACACGGCCCAGACCCCGACGGGGGGCAGGGGGGGGGAAUUUGGGACAAGGGGCAAAACCCGGAUCCAGCAAUGCCGGGUGGGUGAUAAAGGCCUUAGGGUUGUAAAGCUCUUUUCCCCGGGAUGAAAAUGACAGGACCGGGAGAAAAAGCCCCGGCUACCCCCGG
rnacentral:rRNA from 1 species